rnacentral:rRNA from 1 species
UACGUAGGGGGCAAGCGUUGUCCGGAAUCAUUGGGCGUAAAGCGCGUGUAGGCGGCUUGGUAAGUCCGCUCUGAAAGCCCGGGGCUCAACCCCGGGAGGCGGGUGGAUACUGUCAAGCUCGAGUCCGGAAGAGGCGAGUGGAAUUCCUGGUGUAGCGGUGAAAUGCGCAGAUAUCAGGAGGAACACCAAUGGCGAAGGCAGCUCGCUGGGACGUGACUGACGCUGAGACGCGAAAGCGUGGGUAGCAAACAGG